GCGUUCGUGGUGUAGUGGUCAGCACGCUCGACGCGUAACCGAGAGGUCCGUGGUUCGAUUCCCGGCGAAGACG
rnacentral:tRNA from 1 species